GCGCGAUUGGAGCGGCCGAUGUUAGAUUAGGUAGUUGGUGGGGUAAAGGCUCACCAAGCCGACGAUCUAUAGCUGGUCUGAGAGGACGACCAGCCACACUGGAACUGAGACACGGUCCAGACUCCUACGGGAGGCAGCAGUGGGGAAUCUUGCACAAUGGAGGAAACUCUGAUGCAGCGAUGCCGCGUGAGUGAAGAAGGCCUUUGGGUUGUAAAGCUCUUUCGUCGGGGAAGAAAAUGACUGUACCCGAAUAAGAAGGUCCGGCUAACUUCGUGCCAGCAGCCGCGGUAAUACGAAGGGACCUAGCGUAGUUCGGAAUUACUGGGCUUAAAGAGUUCGUAGGUGGUUGAAAAAGUUGGUGGUGAAAUCCCAGAGCUUAACUCUGGAACUGCCAUCAAAACUUUUCAGCUAGAGUAUGAUAGAGGAAAGCAGAAUUUCUAGUGUAGAGGUGAAAUUCGUAGAUAUUAGAAAGAAUACCAAUUGCGAAGGCAGCUUUCUGGAUCAUUACUGACACUGAGGAACGAAAGCAUGGGUAGCGAAGAGGAUUAGAUACCCUCGUAGUCCAUGCCGUAAACGAUGUGUGUUAGACGUUGGAAAUUUAUUUUCAGUGUCGCAGGGAAACCGAUAAACACACCGCCUGGGGAGUACGACCGCAAAGGUUAAAACUCAAAUGAAUUGACGGGGACCCGCACAAGUAGUGGAGCAUGUGGUUUAAUUCGAAGAUACGCGCAGAACCUUACCAACACUUGACAUGUUCGUCGCGACUCUAAGAGAUUAGAGUUUUCGGUUCGGCCGGACGAAACACAGGUGCUGCAUGGCUGUCGUCAGCUCGUGUCGUGAGAUGUUGGGUUAAGUCCCGCAACGAGCGCAACCCUCACUUUUAGUUGCCAUCAUUAAGUUGGGCACUCUGAAAGAACUGCCAGUGAUAAGCUGGAGGAAGGUGGGGAUGACGUCAAGUCCUCAUGGCCCUUACGUGUUGGGCUACACACGUGCUACAAUGGUAUCUACAACAGGAAGCAAAACUGCGAAGUUAAGCAAAUCCUUAAAAGAUACCUCAGUUCGGAUUGCACUCUGCAACUCGAGUGCAUGAAGCUGGAAUUACUAGUAAUCGUGGAUCAGCGUGCCACGGUGAAUGCGUUCCCGGGUCUUGUACACACCGCCCGUCACACCAUGGGAGUUGGUUCUACCUUAAGGCAAGGUUUCAAACCCUUGACCACGGUAUAGUCAGCGACUGGGGUGAAGUCGUAACAAGGUAGCCGUA
rnacentral:rRNA from 1 species